rnacentral:rRNA from 1 species
CUCAGAUUGAACGCUGGCGGCAGGCCUAACACAUGCAAGUCGAGCGGAAACGAGUUAUCUGAACCUUCGGGGAACGAUAACGGCGUCGAGCGGCGGACGGGUGAGUAAUGCCUAGGAAAUUGCCCUGAUGUGGGGGAUAACCAUUGGAAACGAUGGCUAAUACCGCAUGAUGCCUACGGGCCAAAGAGGGGGACCUUCGGGCCUCUCGCGUCAGGAUAUGCCUAGGUGGGAUUAGCUAGUUGCUGAGGUAAGGGCUCUCCAAGGCGACGAUCCCUAGCUGGUCUGAGAGGAUGAUCAGCCACACUGGAACUGAGACACGGUCCAGACUCCUACGGGAGGCAGCAGUGGGGAAUAUUGCACAAUGGGCGCAAGCCUGAUGCAGCCAUGCCGCGUGUGUGAAGAAGGCCUUCGGGUUGUAAAGCACUUUCAGUCGUGAGGAAGGUAGUGUAGUUAAUAGCUGCAUUAUUUGACGUUAGCGACAGAAGAAGCACCGGCUAACUCCGUGCCAGCAGCCGCGGUAAUACGGAGGGUGCGAGCGUUAAUCGGAAUUACUGGGCGUAAAGCGCAUGCAGGUGGUAUGUUAAGUCAGAUGUGAAAGCCCGGGGCUCAACCUGGGAAUUGCAUUUGAAACUGGCAGACUAGAGUACUGUAGAGGGGGGUAGAAUUUCAGGUGUAGCGGUGAAAUGCGUAGAGAUCUGAAGGAAUACCGGUGGCGAAGGCGGCCCCCUGGACAGAUACUGACACUCAGAUGCGAAAGCGUGGGGAGCAAACAGGAUUAGAUACCCUGGUAGUCCACGCCGUAAACGAUGUCUACUUGGAGGUUGUGGCCUUGAGCCGUGGCUUUCGGAGCUAACGCGUUAAGUAGACCGCCUGGGGAGUACGGUCGCAAGAUUAAAACUCAAAUGAAUUGACGGGGGCCCGCACAAGCGGUGGAGCAUGUGGUUUAAUUCGAUGCAACGCGAAGAACCUUACCUACUCUUGACAUCCAGAGAACUUUCCAGAGAUGGAUUGGUGCCUUCGGGAACUCUGAGACAGGUGCUGCAUGGCUGUCGUCAGCUCGUGUUGUGAAAUGUUGGGUUAAGUCCCGCAACGAGCGCAACCCUUAUCCUUGUUUGCCAGCGAGUAAUGUCGGGAACUCCAGGGAGACUGCCGGUGAUAAACCGGAGGAAGGUGGGGACGACGUCAAGUCAUUAUGGCCCUUACGAGUAGGGCUACACACGUGCUACAAUGGCGCAUACAGAGGGCAGCCAACUUGCGAAAGUGAGCGAAUCCCAAAAAGUGCGUCGUAGUCCGGAUUGGAGUCUGCAACUCGACUCCAUGAAGUCGGAAUCGCUAGUAAUCGUGGAUCAGAAUGCCACGGUGAAUACGUUCCCGGGCCUUGUACACACCGCCCGUCACACCAUGGGAGUGGGCUGCAAAAGAAGUAG